UUUACUGAAAUACCAUGAAUUUCGAUCUCCCAUUCCAAACGUAAAUUCCAAACAAGAAAGUAUUUGAGUUCAAUCUCAUAAGAAGGAAUAGGAGGAAAGAAACCGCAAUCGAAAAUGAAAAUAUUUAGGUCACUAACGUGGAGCAAUUAAAUCCUGUCUAUAAAACAAAAUACUUUAUUAUAAAACCAAAAUGCAUUUUAAGUUAAGGAAGCUGACUCGUCCACUGGAAGCAGCAACACUAGAAGCCCGCAA